rnacentral:rRNA from 1 species
GCGUAAGCGCACGCAGGCGGUCUGUCAAGUCGGAUGUGAAAUCCCCGGGCUCAACCUGGGAACUGCAUUCGAAACUGGCAGGCUAGAGUCUUGUAGAGGGGGGUAGAAUUCCAGGUGUAGCGGUGAAAUGCGUAGAGAUCUGGAGGAAUACCGGUGGCGAAGGCGGCCCCCUGGACAAAGACUGACGCUCAGGUGCGAAAGCGUGGGGAGCAAACAGGAUUAGAUACCCUGGUAGUCCACGCCGUAAACGAUGUCGAUUUGGAGGUUGUGCCCUUGAGGCGUGGCUUCCGGAGCUAACGCGUUAAAUCGACCGCCUGGGGAGUACGGCCGCAAGGUUAAAACUCAAAUGAAUUGACGGGGGCCCGCACAAGCGGUGGAGCAUGUGGUUUAAUUCGAUGCAACGCGAAGAACCUUACCUGGUCUUGACAUCCACAGAACUUACCAGAGAUGCAUUGGUGCCUUCGGGAACUGUGAGACAGGUGCUGCAUGGCUGUCGUCAGCUCGUGUUGUGAAAUGUUGGGUUAAGUCCCGCAACGAGCGCAACCCUUAUCCUUUGUUGCCAGCGGUUAGGCCGGGAACUCAAAGGAGACUGCCAGUGAUAAACUGGAGGAAG